UCUCUUCUCUCAACUCCACCUUCGACAUCACCACCACCACCUCCGCGCCACCACCAUCUUCGUUGACACCGUUUCCAUAUCCAUCACCAUCAUAUCCAUCACCAUGAAAAACCAAUCAAACCAACCAGUUCCAGUACCACCUCCUCCUACACUAAUACUACCAAAUACACUAGCAGCACCACCACCACCUCCAAAACAAUCGAUUUUCUAUAGUUGAGCUAUAGUUAAAAUUAGGGUAUCAGAAUUUGAGUAUUUGGUUUCGCUGCUUCUUCUUCAGCGAGAUCUCUCUAUUCUCUUUCAUCCUCUCAACAUCACUACCACCACCUCUGCAACUACCACCACUUCGCCCGCACAACCACCUUCACUGCCGAGAAACAAAUUGAUUUUUGAGUUUAGUUUUGGUGAUUUUGUUCCUGCAAUGUGUUUGAUUGUUGGUUUAGAUUCAUUUCUUCAAGUAGCUUCUUGUUGAUUCUCGUAUUUUAGGGUUCAAUUCCGAGCAAAAUCUUUCUAGGUUUUUCCUUAUUUCUUAAAUUCUUGUUCUGUUGUAUGUAGGUUACAAAGAUUGCUUUGAUGUUUCUUGUAAUUUGAUUGUUCUAUUUGUUUUCUUUUGGUAGCAAAUCUUGCAAUAGAGAAGCUUAAUCACUCUCCAUUGAGAGGCCAAAUGAUACGGGUUAUGUGGUCACGUCGUGAUUCAGAUGCAAGGAAAAGUGGAAUUGCAAAUCUAUUUGUUAAGAAUCUGAGUGUUUCAAUUGAUAAUGCAAAGCUUCAUGAGAUGUUUUUCAAGUAUGAGAAUAUUUUGUCUUGUAAAGUUGCAAUGACUGAAGAAGGAAAGAGCAAAGGAUAUGGAUUUGUUCAGUAUGAAACUGAGGAAUCUGCGACGGCGGCUACUAACAGUGUUAAUGGAUCUACUGCUGAGGGCAAGCAAAUAUAUGUUGGUCCUUUCGUGAAAAAGAGUGAGUGACCCUCUAGAAACUCUGAUUCUAGCUUUACCAAUUUGCACGUAAAAAAUCUGGACUUGGAUGUUACCGAAGAGCUUAUUACAGAGAAGUUCUCCAAAUAUGGAAAAAUUACCCACUUGGUUAUCAUGAAAGACGGCAAUUAAAAAUCCAAAGGAUUUUGUUUUGUGAACUUUGAUAGUCCUGAUGAAGCGAAAAAGGCAAUGGAGGCCACUAAAGGGAUGUAAAUUGGGUCCAAGGUUUUGUAUGUCGGGAGGGCCCAAAAGAAAGCAGAGCGUGAAAAAAUAUUGCAUGAUCAGUUUGAACGCCGAAAGGAACUCCAGAAAAUUAAGGGUUCAAAUGUGUAUGUUAAGAACAUUGAUGAUAGUGUUAAUGAUGACGAGCUGAGCAGUAUAUUCAGUAAGUGUGGCACAAUCACCUCUGCAAUGAUAAUGCUUGAUGAAAAAGGAAUAACUAAGGGGUUUGGAUUUGUAUGCUUCACCAUUAUCGAAACAUCUUAUCAAGUAGUGAACGACCUACAUGGUAUACUACUAACCCCAUUACUUGGUUUAGACCUAUAGAUUUUUCUGAAUUGGUUUCUUUGUUAAGUUUAGAUGCGGGGAUAGUAGAUUCACUAUGUUUACUGGUUCUCAUUGAGAUUUUGUUUCAAUUGAUGUUAAGAAUGAAAAGAUUGAAUUUGUUGAUUGUAUAAAGUAUAAGCAUUUACUUUAGUGCUUA